GCAGUGGUAGUUCAGUAGUAGAAUUUUCACCUUGCAUGUGAAAGACCUGGGUUCGAGCCCUGGCCAAUGCA
rnacentral:tRNA from 1 species